CACACAUUCGAGGACCCCGUGAGUUCAUCUUGUCGCUCCCAAGCAAGAUUCGACUUCUUCAUUCCUCUCUAAAGAUCAAGAAAACAAAUCUUCAAUUACUGCAAAAAUUCUGAUCAAGAAAAUAAAUUGCUGGUUAUGUAGUUUCAGGAAUUCGAAAUGACAAUUGGUGGCAGUAGUUUCCCAAAUCGUCGUCUACUCAUUCUGCUUCUUCUUCUUCAAGUAAUCUUUGCUACCAUCAUUCCUUUGGUCAAUGGAACGUGCCAGCUGAGUUUUGAGAAGGACAAUAAGCUUUACAAUUACAGCUUAACAAACCCAAUUCGUAAUUUCCCUCAUGGCAUCCUCAGUGAAGAUGGGUUCUACAAGGUGGCUUUAAAUGGGACUGUGCUAUGGUUUCAGCUUUGUGAUGCAAUGAUUUUCAACCAUGAUCCUCCUACCUGUGUUGAGUGUGGGGACUGUGGUGGUAUUUCUCGUUGUGGUAUGGGUUGUAGUGCCCUUGUGGCUAACAUUGUUGGAGGUUAUCCCGUGUGCACUACUCUUGGAUAUGCAUCAAGCAUGUCCUUUGAACUCAUUGACAAAACAGAUCCACUUAAAGGCAUCACGGCUAAACUGUCUAACAGAGCCACAAAGCUCAACUGUUCACUUGCUGUAUCUAUUGUAUGUGAUACAAAUGGAGUUCAAGGUCCUCAGACACUUGAAUUAGUUGGGACUUGUGAUUACGCUACAAAAAUACAUCACCCCUCCGGCUGUGCAGUGAUUAUAUCCUCUCACGGGAACAGAAUGGGCUGGUUUGGUACCAUGUUCAUAAUCAUCCUAUUCUUCUUUGGAGUUUACUUGCUGGGUGGUGCAGUCUAUCGGUACUACUCUUUGGGCAUUCGUGGGAUAGACAUAAUUCCAAACUUGGAGUUUUGGGCGAGCUUGCCACAUACAUUACAGAGUUCAUUUACAUCAUUGGUGCGGAGAUUCAGAGGACCUUCUCAUGGUCACAGGAGCUCGUAUUCUCCUGUCAAUUUUUGAGCAAUAACAUGUUUACUAAGCAAAUGAUAUGAUGAAUCAAUUUUUGACGUGGAUUGAAGUUGCUUCAAGAAAAGCAGAUCCUCGUGCUCCUCUCCACCAAUACAACCUAACUUGCAUGACAUUCAACAAUCAAAGCUACUGGUAAUCCUGGGGCGGCACCCUCCUAUGAUAGUUAGCAAUACUAAAAGCGAGUCCUUGGUAUGAGGAAAGCUUUUCAUGGCGGUCUUUGAGAAAUAAGGAACUUGUUACGCCUUCAGAACAAUGGCGAUUCAAAGUCAAUAGUUUCGUGUAUGGAUGUCAAGACAACAUCAAUUCUAAAUCUCAGGGUAUUCCAGGGAGUAACAAAUAUUUACAACCAUGAGUUUGUGUGAAAAAGCAUAUGGGGAAGGCAGUUUGUGAUUGAAAAAGCUCUUCAAAAUAACUUUUUUGGGAACAAUUAGGAUAAAGUAAUAAGUAGUGAAACUGAAAUAAUCAUGUAAAAAAAUAAUCUUGGCCAAUUAUAUUUGAGAUCCUAAAUUUUGUUAUGUCAAUGGGAAUCACCUG